rnacentral:rRNA from 1 species
AUUGAACGCUGGCGGCAGGCCUAACACAUGCAAGUCGAACGAGUGGCGGACGGGUGAGUAAUGUCUGGGAAACUGCCCGAUGGAGGGGGAUAACUAAUGGAAACGGUAGCUAAUACCGCAUACCAGCGGAUGUGCCCAGAUGGGAUUAGCUAGUAGGUGGGUUAACGGCUCACCUAGGCGACGAUCCCUAGCUGGUCUGAGAGGUUGACCACCAACACUGGAACUGAGACACGGUCCAGAAUCCUACGGGAGGCAGAAGUGGGGAAUAUUGCACAAUGGGCGCAAGCCUGAUGCAGCCAUGCCGCGUGUAUGAAGAAGGCCUUAGGGUUGUAAAGUACUUUCAGCGGGGAGGCGUUACCCGAAGAAGAAGCACCGGCUAACUCCGUGCCAGCCGCCGCGGUAAUUC